GCUUUAGCUCAGUUGGUAGAGCACAUCAUUCGUAAUGAUGGGGUCGCGUGUUCGAGUCACGCAAGCGGCACCA
rnacentral:tRNA from 1 species